rnacentral:lncRNA from 1 species
GCUCGGGAUAAAACCUCCAUCCAGCGGCGCUGCAGCUCCUCACAGUCGGCGCUGAAGUAAACCGUCAGAUGACUCUGGCUCAUUUUGAAGGCGAAGCGGCGUUCCAGGCGGUCACCGGAUUCAGGCUUUGCAGUGAUGGCGUCGUUUGGUGAUGGAGUUGAACGGCUCCUGACACUUCAUGCACAGCGUAACUUCUUUCUCCCGGAUCGGAGUGGGCGCUCGCUUUCCAAGCUCUGAGCAAUUCUGAAAACAAAGACCGGUCAGAAUAUUACAGUCAGGGUAAGGAUGAAGUGCACUCACUCUGGGCAUCUUUGAAGUCGUCUGCGUCCUCUGGCAGCCGGUGCAGGUAGUCUUUGAGCAGCAGCUCGUAGCGAGGGAUUCGCUGCACAGGCUCCAACAUGUGGUGCUGGAGGCCGAGAAAAAUCCGGAGAAUCAGAGAACAGGCAUAUAGCGUGAUGAAACCUGCACCGUGCCUGAUCUCCUUACAGCCGUCCUGUGAUCUCAGACGCCAGCACUUAAUAUUCCUCACACACUGGCAACCAGAGAUGUUUGAAGCCUGAUUGGGCCACCAUUAGUAUUCACCAGAACCUACAUCUGCCCCAAAAACACUCCUGCACCCACAGCGAUUCACUCUUUCAUCUGACGCACUCAAUCAUGGCAGAGUCCCAUUCCCAGCACUACUGCACCCCUGUCUGCGGCUGUGAAGGUGAUUCUGCUGCUUCAUUCGGUCAACGGGUGUGAAUUAUGCAGGCUUGCUCACAAUUAACAGCGAAGAGAGUUUCUCAUUUUCACACAUUUAGGCUGAGAGUGUGAUUUCCUCAACAGUGCUCCACGCAUCUGACUGCCUCUACAUUAAAUGGCAUUUCAGCAUUAUUCUUAUUAUUCUUUCACUGUACAAAUCUUUUCACUUUGGGCAAUAAAUCCAACUGUGGUU